AUUGCGCCCCUUGGUAUUCCAUGGGGCAUGCCUGUUCGAGCGUCAUUUGUACCCUCAAGCUCUGCUCUGUCGAAAGACGGAGUACCUUGGUGUUGGGUGUUUGUCCCGCCUUUGCGCGUGGACUCGCCUUAAAGUGAUUGGCAGCCGGAAUGAUUCU
rnacentral:rRNA from 1 species